UCUUAUGGAUGAGCAAAGAAAGUGGUUUCUUGACAUGGAAUCUAUUUACCGUGAAGAUGCUGUGAA
rnacentral:pre_miRNA from 1 species